rnacentral:rRNA from 1 species
UACGUAGGGGCCGAGCGUUGUCCGGAUUCAUUGGGCGUAAAGAGCUCGUAGGCGGUUCAGUCAGUCGGGUGUGAAAUCUCCGGGCUCAACUCGGAGGGGCCACCCGAUACUGCUGUGACUUGAGUCCGGUAGGGGAGUGGGGAAUUCCUGGUGUAGCGGUGAAAUGCGCAGAUAUCAGGAGGAACACCGGUGGCGAAGGCGCCACUCUGGGCCGGUACUGACGCUGAGGAGCGAAAGCGUGGGGAGCAAACAGG